AGCCUGCCCAGUGACUUAGUUCAACGGCCGCGGUAUCCUAACCGUGCGAAGGUAGCGUAAUCACUUGUUCUUUAAAUGAGGACUAGUAUGAAUGGCAUCACGAGGGUUACACUGUCUCCUUUUUCUAAUCAAUGAAACUAAUCUCCCCGUGAAGAAGCGGGGAUAUGUAUAUAAGACGAGAAGACCCUAUGGAGCUUCAAACUAUUUAGCACUGGCUUUUAUCUAUGUCUACUUCAGAGUCUUUACACUUAUUCUAGCCUCUUGACUAAUAGUUUUAGGUUGGGGUGACCACGGAGCAAAAAUUAACCUCCACGAUGAACAGAGCUACUCUUGAGCCAAAAGACACAACUUUAAGCACCAAUAAACUGACACAAAUUGACCCAAUAUUUUGAGCAACGAACCAAGUUACCCUAGGGAUAACAGCGCAAUCCGCCUUAAGAGCCCCUAUCGACAGGUGGGUUUACGACCUCGAUGUUGGAUCAGGGUAUCCCAGUGG
rnacentral:rRNA from 1 species